rnacentral:rRNA from 1 species
AGUGAACGCUGGCGGUAGGCCUAACACAUGCAAGUCGAACGGCAGCACAGUAAGAGCUUGCUCUUACGGGUGGCGAGUGGCGGACGGGUGAGGAAUACAUCGGAAUCUACUUUUUCGUGGGGGAUAACGUAGGGAAACUUACGCUAAUACCGCAUACGACCUACGGGUGAAAGCAGGGGAUCUUCGGACCUUGCGCGGUUGAAUGAGCCGCUGUCGGGUUAGCUAGUUGGCGGGUUAAAGGCCCACCAAGGCGAGGAUCCGUAGCUGGUCUGAGAGGAGGAUCAGCCACACUGGAACUGGGACACGGUCCCGACGCCUGAGGGAGGGAGCAGUGGGGAAUAUUGGGCAACGGGCGCAAGCCUGAUCCAGCCAGACCGCGUGGGUGAAGGAGGCCUUCGGGGUGGAAAGCCCUUUUGUUGGGAAAGAAAAGCAGCAGGUUAAUAACCCGCUGUUCUGACGGUACCCAAAGAAUAAGCACCGGCUAACUUCGUG